rnacentral:rRNA from 1 species
AACUGCAUUCGAAACUGGCAGGCUGGAGUCUUGUAGAGGGGGGUAGAAUUCCAGGUGUAGCGGUGAAAUGCGUAGAGAUCUGGAGGAAUACCGGUGGCGAAGGCGGCCCCCUGGACAAAGACUGACGCUCAGGUGCGAAAGCGUGGGGAGCAAACAGGAUUAGAUACCCUGGUAGUCCACGCUGUAAACGAUGUCGACUUGGAGGUUGUUCCCUUGAGGAGUGGCUUCCGGAGCUAACGCGUUAAGUCGACCGCCUGGGGAGUACGGCCGCAAGGUUAAAACUCAAAUGAAUUGACGGGGGCCCGCACAAGCGGUGGAGCAUGUGGUUUAAUUCGAUGCAACGCGAAGAACCUUACCUACUCUUGACAUCCAGAGAACUUAGCAGAGAUGCUUUGGUGCCUUCGGGAACUCUGAGACAGGUGCUGCAUGGCUGUCGUCAGCUCGUGUUGUGAAAUGUUGGGUUAAGUCCCGCAACGAGCGCAACCCUUAUCCUUUGUUGCCAGCGNUU